GACGAACGCUGGCGGCGUGCCUAAUACAUGCAAGUAGGACGCAGUUGCGAACGGGUGAGUAACGCGUAGGUAACUACCUAUUAGAGGGGGAUAACUAUUGGAAACGAUAGCUAAUACCGCAUACUAGUAGAUGGACCUGCGUUGUAUUAGCUAGUAGGUAUGGUAGUGGGCUACCUAGGCAACGAUAAAUAGCCGACGUGAGAGGAUGAUCGGCCACCCUGGUACGUAGACACGGCCCAGACCACUACGGGAGGCAGCAGUAGGGAAUCUUCUGCAAUGGGGGGAACCCUGACCGAGCAACGCCGCGUGAGUGAAGAAGGUUUUCGGAUCGUAAAGCUCUGUUGUUAAGGAAGCGGUACUUAACCAGAAAGGGACGGCUAACUACGUGCCAGCCGCCGCGGUAAUAC
rnacentral:rRNA from 1 species